rnacentral:lncRNA from 1 species
GGUAGUGUUAUCGUAAAAACGAAGUUCAAAGUUUAAAAUCAUGCAUUAUUUCUUUAUAUAUGAGUCAAAACCAAUGGUGCGUUUCUUUUCAUGUUAACCUUCAGGUAAAAAAAUGAACAAAAAGCGAAAUCCAAAUGUUAUUAUAUUAGGAUGAAGAUAGGAUGAUCCUAAGACACCUAAUUAGGUGUCCUAAAGUUAGGACGAAAACUGCGAUAUAUCAUGAAUUAAGAGAGCUUCGAGAACACGACUUAGGAUAAAUACAUGUCAUAAGAUGGACUUAGGACACGUCCUAGCCCUAAGACAGCUUCGAGAACACCACC